rnacentral:rRNA from 1 species
AAGCUCGUAGUUGAAUUUCGGGGUUAGUAGGUUGGUCAUGCCUCCGGUAUGUACUGGUCUCACUGAUUCCUCCUUCCUGAUGAACCGUAAUGCCAUUAAUUUUGGGUGUUUGCCGGGGGAAUUUUGGACUGUUACUUUGAAAAAAUUGAGUGUUUAAAGCAAGCUAACGCUUGAAUACAUUAGCAUGGAAUAAUGAAAUAGGACGUUCGAUCCUAUUUUGUUGGUUUCUAGGAUUGACGUAAUGAUUAAUAGGGAUAGUUGGG